rnacentral:rRNA from 1 species
UACGAAGGGGGCUAGCGUUGUUCGGAAUUACUGGGCGUAAAGCGCACGUAGGCGGACAUUUAAGUCAGGGGUGAAAUCCCGGGGCUCAACCCCGGAACUGCCUUUGAUACUGGGUGUCUCGAGUCCGGAAGAGGUGAGUGGAAUUCCGAGUGUAGAGGUGAAAUUCGUAGAUAUUCGGAGGAACACCAGUGGCGAAGGCGGCUCACUGGUCCGGUACUGACGCUGAGGUGCGAAGGCGUGGGGAGCAAACAGG